AAUACAGCUGUUACUUUGACAUGCGUUAACCAACUACCGCUGUGUUUUCUUACUAGAACGUGUUUCUGGAGCGGAGGCGAGCUGGUUGGGGAGCCGUGAAUCUGGAGGAUGACCAUCACUCUACCAACAAGGGUUACCAGGACACUGGCUGAGGAGAGCUGAUGGAGGAGCCAAGACUCGAGCCAAGAGGACGACAUCACUCCACCAACCAGGAUCCUCACACACCUGAGCUGAACCUCACCUGAUCCUGUUUGGUCGGGGGUAGACACACCUGAGCUAAACCCGCCCUGAUCCUGACAUCCUGCUGGUCCCGUCUCCUCAGUUCAUCUGAGCCUCGUCCUCCAGAAGACCUGCUGAGCUCAGCAGUCUGAGGCUGAUGGAUCAAUGACCUCCAGUGGGAGUGAUCUUCUUGACCCCACAUGUAACCGUGUGCUUCCACACGCCUUUCCCUCACGUCUGUCACUAACCUCACUACUUCACUACUCUCUACUGCUUCCUCUUUUCUUCCUUCUCUGUGGUUCAAACCUUUACACUGAAGGCGCGUCUUCCUGCCCUCAGAGGGUUUAGCGUUAGGGUUGAGAGUCAGGGUUUAGAGUCAGGGACAGAGCUGGUCAGGGAGGACUGCUUUUACACAAACCUCUUCACUUGCUUUCGGAAUGGUGGUGACAUUUUGAAAAGAUUCAUUUGGGAAAAUGUUUUCCUCUGCUUUCCUUUACAAAAUUGUAUUAAACUUCUGUCAAGUGUUUUUGUUUAUAUAUUAAAAUCCCACAUUGACUUCUA